CAAACAUUUGAUUGAUUAUCAAAUGCUCAUAGAGAGACGAAAUGUCCGUUGGCGCUAGAAAUCCAUGCGUUGGAGAAACCAAUGUCUAGAAGACAGAAUACGUCUCUGAUAAUCAAAAGAAAUAAGUAAAAAAGAGUCAAAGUCUAAAAGACUAAUUGGAUUUGUGUAUCUGAUUUCUCCAAUGUCUGACCUCCUAUUUCUCAUCUAUUUGUAUCAGAUUUGGGUAACAAGAGCCAUAUUUCUGACUUCCUUUAAUUUUGAAUCUUAUAUCUGGAUUUCUAGAGGCAGCAGAAGUCUUAUUACAAAGUUGAAGCUCGUGAAAUUUUACUAUGAAAUACCAUGAAUCAAGAAAGAUUGAAUGAAUUAGCAAUUUAGGUAUUGAAAGUGAUUUUUUACAUAAUAUUGAAUAAUGUAAAAUAAGAGAUUAUUUUGAUUCAAAAAAUGCACGAAGACAUCAUUUUU